AUGUUUGAUUCACUCAAAAUAAUCUAUGAGAGAGACAAUAACCAGCAAAAAUGCACACUCCUAACUGAGUUUUACAACUUCAAAUUUAAAUCCAAGCAAAGUGUUAUUGAUAACAUCUCCGCUCUUAAGGACAUAACCUACAAGUUAAAUCGCUUAAACCAAAAUAUCGACGAUACCAUGCUCAUGACAAAAAUUUUAUCAGUUUUACCUGAAAGCUAUAAACAUUUUAGCAGUGCAUGGGAUUCUACUAGUGAGAAAGACAGAACCCUCAACAAUCUAGUUGGCAGAUUAGUUCAAGAGGAAGCUAAAUUAAAACUAUCAGAUGAAGAUACUGAAGGCGCAACUUUUCACGCUGCCGUCAAAUUUAAAUCUAACUUCAGUAAUAAUGUAACGUGUUAUGAAUGCAACAAGCGAGGUCAUCUAAAACGAGACUGUCCCAACUUGCAGACAAAUUGUACUCUGACAGAAGCGUGCAGGAGAAACGACAAUCAUCUGGCGAUAAAUUGUUUCUUUCAACGUGAAAAUCAAGGGAAAAGAAAUAACAAAACAGGUAACAGUAACUCUCGCAACAAUGAUAAAGAUGAUAAUAAAGCAGCCUUUUUUGCUGAAACUGAAAUAUUUUUAACUGAAAAUGAAACUAAAAGUGAGUUUUCAGACAACUGUGACAAAGUAAAUUUCAUUCUUGAUAGUGGUUCAACCAAUCACCUUAUCGAUGAUAAAUGUCUCUUUACCACCUCAGAACCGUGUAAAUUUGAUAUUAAAACUGCAAAGAAGAGCGCAACCAUUUCAGCAUCAAAUGUAGGCUCGAUAGUAUCUAAGACAUGUGAUCUAAACAAUGUGUACCAUGUACCCGAUUUAUCUAGGAAUCUUCUAUCCGUUAAUGCAAUAACCGAAAAUAAAGGCAAAGUAUAGUGUUUGACAAAAAUAAAGUGCAGAUCUUAGUUGAUAACCGCGUAGUUAUAGAAGGUCAUAAAACAAGUAAUGGUUUGUACAUCGUUGAUUUAAUUCCUGAGCGAGAAGUUCUUGUAGCUCAAUCCCACCAUGAUAGUGUCUACAAUGAGUGGCAUCGUAAAAUGGGCCAUUUAAAUGAAGCUUAUCUAAGGAAGCUGACCGAUCUAGCUGAUGGUAUUCCUCAUAAUAUUGUAAAAGCUGAUGAAAGUGUAUGCUCUGUGUGUGCCGAAGCAAAACAAACCCGACUGCCUUUUAAAACUGUUCGAGAACGUGCUGUUCGUCCAUUAGAGCUGAUUCAUAGUGACGUCUGCAAACCGAGCAAUCCUCGCACGCCUGAUGGCAAGCAAUAUUUCUUAACUAUCUUAGAUGACUAUACGCAUUUCUGCAAAGUGUAUCUAAUGUCUCAUAAAAAUGAAGCAGAAGAUUUUAUCAAAGAAUAUAUCUAUGAAGCAGAAGCUAAAUUCAUGACAAAGACAAGUAGAUUAAGAUGUGACAAUGGCGAGGAAUAUAUCUCUGAUAAUUUUAAAUCCUGGCUCAAAGAGAGAGGCAUCAAACCCGAUUACAGUGUACCAUACACACCACAGCAUAACGGUAAAGCUGAAAGACUAAAUCGCAGUUUAAUGGAAAAGACCCGAGCUCUCCUAUUCGACUCUGGUCUAAACAGUGAAAUGUGGGGCCAUGCUGUUCUAACAGCGGCCUACUUAUUAAAUCGAUGUCCAUCUGAAACUGUGAACAGAACACCAGCUGAACUUGGUACGGCCGAAAGCCAGAUUUAUCAAAUCUUAGAAUUUUUGGUUGUGUUGUUCACACUAAAGUUUUAGGUCCAUUACGGAAAGCUGAUAAACGAAGUAAAAUGGGUAUCUUUAUUGGUUAUAACACGAACAGUUACAGAAUACUUGACUCAGAAACAAGAAAGUUUACAGAUCAAGAGAUGUGAUUUUCACAAAUGAAUUUCCAAAUUCAUCGAAACAAGAUGAGGUACGUCACACCGCAAUUAAAAUAAAUGAUGAAAAUGAAGAAGAAGAUGAAAAUGCGAAAGAAAAUGAAAUUUUAAAUAAUAUAGACCAACAUGAAGACGAAAAUGAAAUUGUUGUAAAUGAAGAGCCGCAAAAUGAAGAAAACCAGCCGAUUCCUGAAAUGCCAAAUCUCAAACCAAAAAGAAGAAUAGUCCUACCACAGAAACUUAAAGACUAUGACUUGACAAGAAACAUCAGGUCACAAAUCAACUCGAAAACAACGGUGAAGCCCUGCUAACAUAUAGCGAAGUGAUUCAAUCCCCUGAUAAAAAAAAAUGGGAACAAGCAAUCCAAGAAGAAAAAGCAUCUUUAGCCAAAAACAACACAUGGGUAUUAGUGAAUCCUGAAGAAGCUCACGGCAAAGAACUUAUUACAAGUAAGUGGGUUUUUAAAAUUAAAGAAAAUGGUAAAUAUAAGGCUCGCUUAGUUGCCCGAGGCUUUCAACAAUGCAGUGAAAACCUUGCCUACAAAGAAAUUUUUAGUCCAGUAGUUGAAAGUAAUUCUCUUCGUAUUCUUUUUGCUAUUGCCGCAGAUAAGAAAAAUCAGUUAACCUUCUUUGACGUAAAGACUGCGUUCCUAUAUGGAGAACUUGAAACUGAAAUCUACAUGCAACUACCUGAAGGUUUUGAAGAAGGGAACGAUUUUUGUCUACUAAAAAAUCCAUCUAUGGAUUACGUCAAGCAUCCAACAAUUGGAAUAACGUUUCAUCACAACUCUCCGUAAAUUAGGUUUCAUGCCUUUAAAGACAGAUCAGUGCAUUUUCCACAACGCUGAAUCUGACAUUCAUUUAGCCAUCCAUGUAGAUGACGGUAUAGUAAUUGGUCAAGAUACAGACAAAAUUGAUAAAGUACUUAAAGCUUUGAAUGAAGAAGUUGAAAUGACGGUAUCAGCAAAUGCCAACUCCUACUUAGGAAUGGUAAUUGAAAAGAAUGAAAAAGGUAUUUUUGUUUCGCAAUUAAACUAUGCUAACCAGGUGCUUAAACGUUUUAAUAUGCAAAAUUGUAAACCAGUUAGAACACCGAUUCAACCUGACAGCAACAAUCAAACUGAAGAAGUCGUCGGAGACUUUCCUUACCGAGAAGCGAUUGGUAGCCUACUCUAUCUUUCUUGUAAAACUCGACCGGACUUAGCUCACAGUGUUAAUUUUGAAAGUCGAUCGAUGGAAAACCCUACUCAUCGAGAUAUUCAGAACGUAAAACGAACUUUACGAUACCUCAAAGGCACCUUAAAUUAUGGUCUUUUUUAUCCGGCUACUCCAGAAUGUGAAAUUAAAGCAUAUGCUGACUCGGACUACGCAGGCGAUUUGGUCAAACGUAAAGCACAACGGGCUACUUGAUUUUCUUCAAAGGAGGUCUCGUAGCAUGGAACUGUCAUCUUCAAAGUGUAACAGCCUUAUCGUCAAUGGAAGCUGAAUACAUUGCAUCCACAGAAUGUUGCAAAGAACUUAAAUAUUUGAAGACUCUCACAGAAGAACUUUGCGAUAAAACUGUAACCGCAACUCUGUACGCUGACAACCAAAAUGCUAUUCGACUCAUUGAAACUGCUCAGAUGGGGCGAGGUAGUAAGCAUAUAGAAGUUAGGUAUCACUAUAUCAGUGAGCAAUUUAAAGAUGGAGUUUUCUCCAUUGAGUACAUUCCAACGGAGCAUCAGUUAGCUGAUUUUCUUACAAAACCCUUAACUUGUGUUAAAUUUGAAAAUUUCAGAGACGCAAUAAUGGCGGCUAUUGAGUAAAUGUAUUUCUCUUAAUAUUUUUUUCUCUCUUCAGAUUAUUGAAUUAAAUUAAUUAUUUCAUUGAUCUUUCUUUUAAAGAGUCUUAAAAUGUAACUCACUCUUUCUAACUGAUUUUCUUUUUGAAGCUCUGAGCCUCAUUUCCUUUGUAUAUUCAAAUUACCAAAUUUUCCUUUAAGCGUCCUUUGAAUUCACUCCAUGUAAUUUUUUUUUAGUUUGCGCUAAAUAUUACUCAAAAAAAAAAAAUUGAAUGUUAUUUCCUUUGGCGCGCACUCUCUUUUGAUCUUAAAUGUUAUGGAAAUUUCCUUUUAUAUUUUUCUAUUCCGUAUUUUGUUUAAGUUAAAUAUUUUCUCUUAAAUAGUUUAUGAUUAAGGGGUAUGUUCCAUGUUAAUCAUAACCCCUAUGUUAUGUUGGUACUACGUAUAUUCUAGUUAUGUCACGUUGUCACUCUGAUUACCCAUAAUACAUUGCACACCUUGUUCAUGUUCGCAAGAGCAAAUCUUUGAGUUCUUAUUAAUUAAUCAAAGCCCUGAAUCAAACUAAAAUAAAGUCAAUUUAAAUCAAAUCGAUCGGAUUAGUGCCCUUCUUGCCUCUUGACGGGCAAUUGUAAUAAGUGCAUAAUAUCUAAAUACCUCAUAGUAAUUUUGCACUGUAAUAGAGCGUAUUAAAUGGCAAUACCGUCUGACAUAUUUACAUCUCAUUCUGGUGACACAGAUUGUGACGAUGAAUAUUUAAACCUCACUUUAAGUGAUUCUGAUUCAUUCAUCCCAAAUUACAACCUAAGGAAUAUAUAAUAAAGCGAAUAUGCAAAGAAUAAUGGUCAAAAACCACCAAAAACAAUUUUACAUAAUCUUGGCAACAUUGCAAUGCGGUUAGUUCCUUAUUUUUGAGCUCAGUACAUGAAUUCAUUGUAAACCUCCAUCAAUUUCAUUUCAUUUGUCAAUAGAUCGCUCUACAGACAGAAAAAGGAAGCAAUCGCCAACAAUCGCGAAAAUGCCAAUUUCUGCUCUUUUUCCAAAGUUUGGCACCCUUCAGCGAGUUUAAUUUUGCCAUGGGCAAGGAAUGUUAAGAAUCAAUUUUAUAGGAAAUUUAAUGAGGAUUAAUUUUGAAAAUGACUAAUUUUGUGGUCAGAUCAACUCCUCGCGAGUUACAUACCAUAAUACUCCAAAAAGCCAAUUAUAGGCAUUUUUUGAAAUAUUUGGCAACUUUCCAGUCCGAAAUUUUUGGUGUAAAGUUGAAAUUUGGAUUCAGCGUCAAAUAUUACAUAGGAAUUGCUGAAAACAUUGCUACCCGGGAUUUUUGCAGGCUAUGGCCCCUUUUUUAGUACGGUGGGUACGAUCGAAUAAUGGCCAAAACCCUGCACUUUUUGAUUGGAAAUUGCCGCUUUCAGGAAUCAUUCUUAUGGUCAUAAGAAGCCCUUUUGGAAGGGGAACCACUCUGGGGUCCGUGCAGGAACCAAGAUGGCGGCCGUUAAAGAUGGCCGCCAAGCGUUUUUUCAGCGCGCUAUAUCUCGGAAACUACGGGUCCGAUUUUCGUUUUCUUGGUCUCAUUUUGAAGCUAAAAUGCUUCUACAGAAGUCUACCUCAUGAAUUUUUUCGCCUAAGGCACACAUGAAUGGUCAUUAGGAAAAUUUUGAAAUUUCGCCCAAUUUUCAAGAGCGUUUAAUUAUUUAACACGCGAGAAAGUGGCGUUUUUGCCUUAAGUAACGGCGAUGGGAAAUUAUCUGACGUUUAAUUUGAUACCAAAACAAUUUUUUUGCGUCAAAAAAUGCACCCGCUAGAGCAAUUUAAGUGAAGCGCCGCGGUACGCGGUGCGCGGUGAAAACGGCGGAAAACGGGUAAUUCUCGUGCUACGCGAGUCAUACGUGCGCUAUAUCUCGGCACAUUCUCGUCCGAUUUUCAUUAUUUUGGGCUUGUGUAGAAGCUAUGUUGAAACUUAACUAGUGUAGAGGAUAUGUUUGCUUUUUUUCCUCCGAAUUUUCCGGGUAUUUCUCAAAAG
rnacentral:lncRNA from 1 species